GACGCAGCAACGCCGCGUGGAGGAUGAAGGUCUUCGGAUUGUAAACUCCUUUUCUUGGGGAAGAGCAAGGACGGUACCUGAGGAAUAAGUCACGGCUAACUACGUGCCAGCAGCCGCGGUAAUACGUAGGUGGCAAGCGUUAUCCGGAAUUACUGGGCGUAAAGCGCACGCAGGCGGCCCUUUAAGUUUGACGUGAAAGCUCCUGGCUUAACUGGGAGAGGUCGUUGAAGACUGGAGGGCUUGAGACGAUGAGAGGGGUGCAGAAUUCCCGGUGUAGUGGUGGAAUGCGUAGAUAUCGGGAGGAAUACCAGUGGCGAAGGCGGCACCCUGGCAUCGGUCUGACGCUCAUGUGCGAAGGCGUGGGGAGCGAACGGGAUUAGAUACCCCGGUAGUCCACGCGGUAAACGAUGAACACUGGGUGUGGGGAGCGUAAAGCUGUCCGUGCCGAAGCCAACGCGUUAAGUGUUCCGCCUGGGGAGUACGGCCGCAAGGCUA
rnacentral:rRNA from 1 species